rnacentral:miRNA from 1 species
GAGUGGGGAGGAGAGAGGGACAGAGAGCCUGCUCCUUUAAAGAAGCGGGGGAGGAGAGGAGCCGCUUAAACCAGUGUAAGCGGCUCCUGUCCGGUUGGUUCCUUUAAAGCAAGCAGGCUCUCUGUCCCUCUCUCCCCCCCCACUC